UACGUAGGGUGCAGGCGUUAAUCGGAAUUACUGGGCGUAAAGCGUGCGCAGGCGGUCUGCUAAGAGAGAUGUGAAAUCCCCGGGCUUAACCUGGGAACUGCGUUUCUAACUGGCAGGCUUGAGUGUGGCAGAGGGGGGUGGAAUUCCACGUGUAGCAGUGAAAUGCGUAGAGAUGUGGAGGAACACCGCUGGCGAAGGCAGCCCCCUGGGCUAACACUGACGCUCAUGCACGAAAGCGUGGGGAGCAAACAGG
rnacentral:rRNA from 1 species